AUGAGUAUGGUAGCAUGGACAUGGCCCAUUGAGGGUGAAAGGCCCGUAAGGGUGGAGUUCACGCAGGCCAGUGCCUCUCUGGAUUGACCUAAGAGUCGGGUUGUUUGUGAAUGCAGCCCAAAGUGGGUGGUAAACUCCAUCCAAGGCUAAAUACAAGCACGAGUCCGAUAGAGAACAAGUACCGUGAGGGAAAGUUGAAAAGUACUUUGAAGAGAGAGUAAACAGUGCGUGAAACCGCUCAGAGGUAAACGGGUGGAGUUGAACUGCAUGCUCCGUGAAUUCAGCUGGUGAGAUUGUUGUUGGGCUUGGUCAAGUGGGGUAGACACUGAGGUAUGCUUAGCUGCAUGUCCCGGCCUGCAGGUUGGGAUGCGCGAUACGCUCAUCAUGCGUUGCGCGCCUCUGUUGUUUAUCUGCCCUCUCGCCAGUGCAUUUUCGCGGGGUGAUCACCAAGAUCGGCGUUGCUGUCCGGCUGCUUCAGUUAAACCGGUCUUACGCGUCCUUGUGGCGUUGUAUGGUCGGGACGGCAGGUAGCCUGUUAGCUUGCUCUGCUUGCUUUCGGGUAUAAUCAGCUGACUGAAGUGGUCCUGUGCAGUGCGUCGGAGCUGGCGGCCAGUUGUGCAUGCUCGUGUGUCAUGCCUUCCAAAGGAUCCUGUUUUGAUCGCUAUGUUGCCCGUUUCGGUGGGUCUAGCGAUAGACGGGGUUCUAUUGGUUGGUGGU
rnacentral:rRNA from 1 species